rnacentral:rRNA from 1 species
GACAGAGGAUGCAAGCGUUAUCCGGAAUUAUUGGGCGUAAAGCGUCUGUAGGUGGCUUUUUAAGUUCGCCGUCAAAUCCCAGGGCUCAACCCUGGACAGGUGGUGGAAACUACCAAGCUAGAGUACGGUAGGGGCAGAGGGAAUUUCCGGUGGAGCGAUGAAAUGCGUAGAGAUCGGAAGGAACACCCAAGGCGAAAGCGCUCUGCUGGGCCGACACUGACACUGAGAGACGAAAGCUAGGGGAGCAAAUGGG